CGUCUCAGUUCGGAUUGUAGUCUGCAACUCGACUACAUGAAGCUGGAAUCGCUAGUAAUCGCGAAUCAGAAUGUCGCGGUGAAUACGUUCCCGGGUCUUGUACACACCGCCCGUCACACCAUGGGAGUCAGUAACGCCCGAAGCCGGUGACCCAACCGAUAAGGAGGGAGCCGUCGAAGGUGGGACCGAUAACUGGGGGUGAAGUCGUAACAAGGUACC
rnacentral:rRNA from 1 species